rnacentral:rRNA from 1 species
UACGUAGGGUGCAAGCGUUAAUCGGAAUUACUGGGCGUAAAGCGAGUGUAGGCGGUUCGAUAAGUCGGAUGUGAAAGCCCCGGGCUCAACCCGGGAAGUGCACUCGAUACUGUCGAGCUAGAGUAUCGGAGAGGUUGGUGGAAUUCUCGGUGUAGAGGUGAAAUUCGUAGAUAUCGAGAGGAACACCGGUGGCGAAGGCGGCCAACUGGACGAAUACUGACGCUGAGACUCGAAAGCGUGGGGAGCAAACAGG